GGAGUCUGGUCCGUGUCUCAGUACCAGUGUGGGGGACCUUCCUCUCAGAACCCCUACUGAUCGAUGGCUCGGUGGGCCGUUACCCCGCCGACUGCCUAAUCAGACGCAUCCCCAUCCCGGAGCGAUAAAUCUUUCGUGACAUACGGAUGUCCUCUUGUCACAACAUCAGGUAUUAGGCUCCCUUUCGGAAGGUUAUCCCUGACUCCGGGGCAGGUUGGAUACGCGUUACUCACCCGUGCGCCGGUCGCCAUCGGGAGCCGCAAGCGACUCCCAUGCUGCCCCUCGACUUGCAUGUGUUAAGCCUGUAGCUAGCGUUCAUC
rnacentral:rRNA from 1 species